GGCUUGUUGAAAUGAAAAUAAUAAGUUUGUUCUGCCCAUUGAAAUAGAAAUUUUAAAAGGCUGCAGUAUAUUGACUGUACAAAGGUAGCAAAAUCAAUAGUUUUUUAAUUGAAAACUUGUAUGAAAGAAUUAAUAAAAUACAAACUGUCUUAAAUUAAUUUAUUUUGAAUUUAAAUUUAAAGUUAAAAUGCUUUAAUAAAUUUAUUAGACGAUAAGACCCUAAGAAUUUUAAAUUAUUAAUUGAUAAAUUAUAAAAUGAAAUUUUAAUUUAUAAAUUAAUAAUUUUUUAUUGGGAGGGUAAUUAAAUUUUAAAACUUUAAUUAAUAGUAACAUUGAUAAAUGAAUAUAAUGAUAAUUAUAAUAAUUAUUAGAAAUAAUUACCUUAGGGAUAACAGCGUAAUAAUUUUGGAGAGUUCAUAUUAAUAAAAUUGUUUGCGACCUCGAUGUUGAAUUAAAAUAAAAAUUAAGUGAAGAAGCUUAAAAUUUUAGUCUGUUCGACUAUUAAAAUUUUACA
rnacentral:rRNA from 1 species